rnacentral:tRNA from 1 species
CCGCCAUUUGCAUCCGUAGCUCAGCUGGAUAGAGUACU